rnacentral:sRNA from 1 species
UGAUUACAGUGUAUCAAAGUCAUUCCACAUCUGUGCCCUAACUAUGAUGGGGAUAUGACUUUGAGACACGCCCCAGUAUGAGCAUAAAAGUGAAGCGAUAGCUUCACCAUAUGCGAAUACUUGGGGAGGAUUGCGGGAGUGCAAUGCACGGAGCAAUCCGGGUAAUCU